GUGCUCACUUCAGUAGCACAUACACUAACGUUGGAACACUACAGAGAUAAGCAUGGCCCCCACGCAAAGAUGGCAUGCAAAUUCAUGAAACAAAAAAUAUUGAC